rnacentral:tRNA from 1 species
AUACAGGUAAACUAAAAAAGUUAAUAGGUUCAUACCCUGGAAAUAGAUAUUUAUUCUUCUGUAUA